rnacentral:rRNA from 1 species
GACGAACGCUGGCGGUGUGCUUAACACAUGCAAGUCGAACGGAAAGGCCCUGCUUUCGUAGGGUGCUCGAGUGGCGAACGGGUGCGUAACACGUGAGUAACCUGCUCUUGACUUUGGUAUAACUUCACGUAACUGGGGCUAAUAUCGGAUAGGAGCUCCUGCUGCAUGGUGGGGGUUGGAAAGUUUCGGCGGGUGGGGAUGGACUCGCGGCUUACCAGCUUGUUGGUGGGGUAGUGGCUUACCAAGGCUUUGACGGGUAGCCGGCCUGAGAGGGUGACCGGCCACAUUGGGACUAAGGUACGGCCCAGUCUCGUACGGGGGGCAACAGUGGGGAGUAUUGCACAGUGAGCGGGAGCGUGAUGCAGCGGCGCCACGUGCGGAAUGACGGCCUUUGGGUUGUAAACCGCUUUCGCCUGUGACGAAGCGUGAGUGACGGUAAUGGGUAAAGAAGCACCGGCUAACUACGUG